UACGUCGAGACCUCAGGUUGAU
rnacentral:miRNA from 1 species